UACGUAGGUGGCAAGCGUUUGUCCGGAUUUAUUGGGUUUAAAGGGUGCGUAGGCGGCCCUGUAAGUCAGUGCUGAAAUAUCCCGGCUUAACCGGGGAGGGUGGCAUUGAUACUGCAGGGCUUGAGUACAGAUGAAGUAGGCGGAAUUGACGGUGUAGCGGUGAAAUGCAUAGAUAUCGUCAAGAACACCGAUAGCGAAGGCAGCUUACUAGCUGUAACUGACGCUGAGGCACGAAAGUGUGGGGAUCAAACAGG
rnacentral:rRNA from 1 species